UGGGGAAUAUUGCACAAUGGGCGCAAGCCUGAUGCAGCCAUGCCGCGUGUAUGAAAAAGGCCUUCGGGUUGUAAAGUACUUUCAGCGGGGAGGAAAGGAGUAAAGUUAAUACCUUUGCUCAUUGACGUUACCCGCAGAAGAAGCACCGGCUAACUCCGUGCCAGCAGCCGCGGUAAUACGGAGGGUGCAAGCGUUAAUCGGAAUUACUGGGCGUAAAGCGCACGCAGGCGGUUUGUUAAGUCAGAUGUGAAAUCCCCGGGCUCAACCUGGGAACUGCAUUCGAAACUGGCAGGCUAGAGUCUUGUAGAGGGGGGUAGAAUUCCAGGUGUAGCGGUGAAAUGCGUAGAGAUCUGGAGGAAUACCGGUGGCGAAGGCGGCCCCCUGGACAAAGACUGACGCUCAGGUGCGAAAGCGUGGGGAGCAAACAGG
rnacentral:rRNA from 1 species